rnacentral:lncRNA from 1 species
UCUUCCAAAACUUGGAAGACUGAAGAAGAAGAGAAGUCACCACAUCAUCGGGAUCAUCGAUAACCUGAUGCUCAAGAAACUCUAUCAAUGCAUCCUUAUCUCUAAGCUACUGAAGCAACUCCUCUCGUUCACAGAUCCAGGCACGUGAACGGUCUUCGUCUCUCAACUCCUCUACUCCUUAGUCAGGGAGGGUUGAAGGCCCAGCCACAACCAAAGGUGUAGGUCUUGGAUACUCAUAAGGCAUAAGGUACUCGG